UUUCUUCCAGAUCUUCCGGACUGAGCUUGCUAAGAUGUAGGAUCUGUGCAGCAAGGGAUAUCACCUUGGGCUUCACUGAGUUGAGCUGCCAUUGAAGGCUUGCAGAAUGGUUGAGAUCCCUAACUGCUAUGGGUUUCAACAGGAAUAAAAGAUGCUAGCGCCUCGGAAAACCACACGCCGCGAACCCAGAAUGGUGCCAGUGCUGAACGGAAAUGCUCAAGCGCUUAAUUACAUUAACAGCAAGUUCUGCUACUGUUUUGUGUACCUGUGCUUAUAGCUCUUCAGGAGUUCAACGCAAUUUCAAACCAAAGCACAAACCCACCAGUUUAAAGCUGUUCCAAAUAUCUACCUGUUGCUACGUUCUGUCUCUGUACGCUCAACUCCUACAUUAAAGUCACUGUUGUGCCUCUCAA